rnacentral:rRNA from 1 species
AUUGAACGCUGGCGGCAUGCCUUACACAUGCAAGUCGAACGGCAGCACGGGAGCAAUCCUGGUGGCGAGUGGCGAACGGGUGAGUAAUAUAUCGGAACGUGCCCAGUCGUGGGGAUAACGUAGCGAAAGCUACGCUAAUACCGCAUACGAUCUAUGGAUGAAAGCGGGGGAUCGCAAGACCUCGCGCGAUUGGAGCGGCCGAUAUCAGAUUAGCUAGUUGGUAGGGUAAAGGCCUACCAAGGCGACGAUCUGUAGCGGGUCUGAGAGGAUGAUCCGCCACACUGGGACUGAGACACGGCCCAGACUCCUACGGGAGGCAGCAGUGGGGAAUUUUGGACAAUGGGGGAAACCCUGAUCCAGCCAUGCCGCGUGAGUGAAG